rnacentral:rRNA from 1 species
UACGUAGGGUGCAGGCGUUAAUCGGAAUUACUGGGGCGUAAAAGCGUGCGCAGGCGGCUCCUUAAGUCAGAUGUGAAAAGCCCCCGGGGCUUAACCCUGGGGAACUGCGUUUGAAACUGGGGGAGCUGGAGUGUAGAAGAGGGGGGGUGGAAUUCCACGUGUAGCAGUGAAAUGCGUAGAUAUGUGGAGGAACACCGAUGGCGGAAGGCAGCCCCCUGGGCCAGCACUGACGCUCAUGCACGAAAGCGUGGGGGAGCAAAC